ensembl:lncRNA
AAACUUUAUAUUUCAUAUUCAUGUUCAACCAAAAGGAAACUGAAAAAGAAAAAAAAAAAACCCAUAAAAAAUCCUCCACCAAAGCACCAAAAAGCAAAUUAAAUGUAUUUUUAUAUUAAAUUAUCAGUCCAAACACACAAUUCACAGGGGGUAGGUGCAGUUGUGAAUCAGCUCAACCACUCUGAUAGGUUUGCUUUACUGUUAGAGGAGGAUAGUGCACAGGGGCAGCUUGAAUUUCAUAGAAUCCCAGACUGGUUUGGGUUGGAAGGGACCUUAAACCUCAUUUGGUUCCAACCCCCUGCCAUGGGCAGGGACACCUUCCACUAGAGAAGGUUGGUCCAAGCCCCGUCCAGCCUGGCAGGACUCCUGGUACCCAGGCACCCUGUGCACGAGCGAUGCCUGUGCUAGGGCUGUGAUCAUGAUGCAGAGGACACCUGAGUGCUACAGACAGUGCAGUUAUGAGACUUCAGGUUUGAAUCCUGCACAGUGAAAGACAACACACACACAAAGUGAGGGCAUUAAGGCUGUAAAGCUCUGGACCUUAAAAAAGAUACCAGGAAAUAGCGACAAUGAAGGUCACCUGGAAACCUUGGUUCAACACCCUUCUUCCAUUACAGCAUCAUGCAUUAGCUGCAUUGGUAAUUUCAGUGCAGGGUUAGUACAUUAACUGCAAGCAUAACAGCAGCACUAAUGGCAGCAAAUGCUACUACAAGAAUAGAUUUGGUCAAAAGCAUGACAUGAAGCACCCAGGCAGAAACGUGCCCUGCUGCUCCCUCCCUCCUUCCCCUGGCUGUGAGCUAGGUAUGACCAAUUUCUUGGCCAACCCCCAAAGGGUGGGUCAGGGGCCCCAGUUAGUGUCCACUAUCAAUGUUGACAAAAGUAAUCUCUCAUGUUCCUACUGUUUAACUAAAGCUAUGUUCAGCUCUGGGGCAACAACACAAGAGGGAGCUGUUGGAGCGAGUCCAGAGGAGGUCACCUAUGGAGCUGCUGCGAGGGCUGGAGCAGCUCUGCUCUGGAGCCAGGCUGGGAGAGCUGGGCUGGUUCAGCCUGGAGAAGAGAAGGCUCCUUAAGGGGAGACCUUAGAGCAGCUCCAGCGCCUAAAGGGGCUACAGGAAACCUGAAGAGGGGCUUUGGACAAGGGCUUGUAGGGACAGGACAAGGGGGAAUGGCUUUAACCUGCCAGAGGGGAGAUUGAGGUGAGCUCUUAGGCAGAAGCUCUUCCCUGUGAGGGUGCUGAGGCGCUGGCACAGGGUGCCCAGAGAAGCUGUGGCUGCCCCAUCCCUGGCAGUGUUCAAGGCCAGGUUGGACACAGGGGCUUGGAGCAACCUGCUCUAGUGAAAGGUGUCUCUGCCCAUGGCAGGGGGUUGGAACUGGAUGAGCUUUAAGGUCCCCCUCAAUCCAAACCAGUCUGGGAUUCUAUGAUAUUCUGCUGACAAAGAUGAAGACAGAAUAGUGAUUUAACUAAACAUCACAUGUAGGAGUGAAGACUCAAUAGCCAGAGGGGUACCAACUUCAACUAACACCACCAAAAGCAACUGCUAGCUCAGGAAUGCCCAGGGGCAGCACAAUUGGUCCUCACCAUCCCCAAAAGCCCAGCACACCCUGCCUAUCUGCUGGCAGGAAAGAGAGGUGGUUGUGAUUUUUCCAGGAACAGAGAAAAUUUCAUUCACAGCUCCCACCACAGCAAAUAGGGUGCUCUUCUUGUGUCUGCAUCCUCACAAUUGAGUGGUGAGACAGUGCAAAAUUUGACAUACAUUAUUGUUAACAGUAAGAAAUACCAGAAUGAGGCAAAAUUACUCCCAAAUGAAACAUACAGGAAAAUAUCUAUGCUCAGAAUAAGUCUCACCUUAAUGAUUAAAGUUAGAAUUGGUGUCUGAGCCUUCAAAAGCAAAAAGAGGCAUUAUUCUCAACAUGUUUUCCUACUUCAAGGCAGCAGGAAGGGGAACAGCUCCUCUGUUUUGUCCCUCAGUGACACAAAGCCAUGGAGUCAUCACCUAAAACAAAGUGUGAACUGGUGGAGACAUUUUUCCUAUGGUAAAUGUUAGUGAAGCCAUUACAGAUUUUGGGAAGCAUAGCUUGGAAAGGAGGUUGCUGGUAGCAACAUGAUUCAUUGCACUGCUGGUGGACCUGGCUUCCAGAAGGGUGGCCACAAAAACCUAAGGAGAACGUGUAGCAGUUUGAUCUGCAGAACUGAGCAGCCCAUAAUCAAGUGUCAGAAUACACAAGUAUUUAGUAAAUUGCCCAUUUUCCUCGGAUCUUUCACUGGGAAGGAAAAACACUGAAUUGUCUUCAGCGAUAUCAGACAUAGGCAUGAACUCAUCUGUGUUGCCAGGUUUAAGAAUAUUUGGAAACUUAUUCUCUGUUAAUCCAAAGAAAAGAAAUUAGGGAAGAAGAUCUAAUGGCUUGCUGCCUUUUUUUUGCUCCGCAGGAGUGAGCUAUAAAAUGUUCACCAAACAAUCAUACUAGAAGAUUCCAUUAUGCCUUUGCUUACUUUUUAGGGUUUAACACUUAUUAAAUAAACUCUCAUUAACUUAAGGAAACGAGUGAAGGGAAAACAUACUUUUGUGGUUUAACUCCAGCUGGUAACUAAGUACCAUGCAGCCACUGCCUUAUAUGCAUCUUCACACCCCCCCUGGUGGGACAAGGAGAAUUGGAAAAGAUAAAACCCAUGGGUUGAGAUAAGAACAGUUUAAUAACUGAAAUAUAAUAAUAAUUAUUAUUAUUAUAGAAGGAAAGCUAGAGGGAGGAAUAAAACCCAAGACAGACAAGUGAUGCACAACACAACUGCUCACCACCCACUGACUGAUACUCAGCCUGUCCCAAGCAGCCAUCGGUGGCUCCUGGACAACCCUCCCCAGUUUCUAUACUGGGCAUGACAUGCUGUGGUAUGAACAAAAAAGGACUUCACAUACUUUCAUAAGGGUCUCUCUUGGGCUGAAGGACUGAUCAUAAAAUACACCUUUAUGCUAUUAUCCCUGAAAAGAAAUUAAUUUGGGCUUCAAUUGUAUGUGUCAGUUGAAUGAACGACCAGCAUCGUGACCCUGCCAAGAAGCCGCUGAAGCAUUUAUCUUUAAAUGAAAGCUUCAACUAUCUUAAAACCCCUCUCCCCAGUGAUCUAAACACGUGCCUCUAAAAAUGUCAAUUCAUAGCAGGUCACUGGCCAUGGGAGAAAAAGGACACACACAGUCAGCAGUAUCUUAUCUCAGCAAACAACCCCAUUUCUAUCGUCGAUGGUGUAGCUACCAACAGUCAGACAUCAAAAUAUUCGAGGCUGAGUUUACACACACACACAAGACAUGCACUAGUUACUCCAGCUGGUAGUAUCGUUGUGUUUUAUUUAUUAAAAAUAAACCUAACUCACAAC